AAAAUAUUCUUCGAUGAUAAUUGAUACUUAAGUUUUAAAUAACUCCUUUAAUUGUUGUAUCUCACACUUGUAAACUUCUUUUCAUGCAGUGCUAUAUACUAUAGUCUGUCCUAAGAUAUUUAUGCUGCAUAUUUGAACGAGUUUUAAUAAAAAAAUACACAUACCUGUGACUGAAGUGCAAUUAAAAUCGAUGAAAGGGAAAAUUCCUAAGAUAACUUCAUUCACACAUUAUUAUUUUUCCCUCGUAAAAAUUCACAGGAACGAAAACAGAUUUCCUACGGAGAUUUAUAAUGGGGAAUGUUGACAUCUUUUCUCCAUUCGGAUAUACUCGCGACCCCUCGCGCAAUUUUUCAACGUUAUCAUCGGGGCGUCUUCAUCUCCUUGGCAAUGGAAAAACCCUGUAGACUUUUUAUUUUUAGCCGUGUACUGAUACCCGACAAGCUAGAGGGGGCGUUUCAAAGGGGAACUCUUGGGAUUUUUUCAUACUAUUGAAUGAACAUCGUCUGAACCAAGAGGAAAUUGAUUGAAACAUUUGGUAAAACCCAUGCAGGAGCUUCCAGGUGCUUUGCAGCUUGGGGCUUCACUAGGUUUUUGCCCUGGACCCACUGCAGAAACGUUUGCAAGAAGAAAGAGGCAAAUUAAGUGUUGAUUGGGCUUCUGAGCUAAAACAAGAUCAUGAAGAUGAUAGAAAAUUUACUGGGCUAGAUGACUGGGAGCUGAUCAUGGUGACAUUAGCUAGUGAAGAUAAAAACCAGUACCCUAGCUCUCAUCGAUCAAUAACUGUCCUGACUAUGAGGUCCAGACAAAUUGAGGUCCUGACCUAGCUGGGAGCUCUUCACCUACAUACAUGUAUGCAUCAAUGUGAGUGAAUUAAUCUUGAAUCUUAAUUGCAUGUCAAAUGCAGGUCUAAUAAUUGGUAAGUAUCAGUAUUUUUCUUCGUGGAAAAUUUAUGUCCCGGAGUAUCACCAUGCUCAUAUAGCAUGCUUACUGAUUGAUAAUUUUGUCUUGUUUUGUCUUGUUUUUGUGCCCCAUUACAAUUAGCUCCCUUGCACUUUCAUGAAAGAAAUCCCCCCAGUGGCAUUAAUGCUUAGUAUGUACUGUGGAAUCAUUAAAUUUCAUUGUGGCUCAAUUUUCGUGGAAUUCAUGGUACCUCUCAACAACGAAGUAACAUCCUCACACAAAUUAAUAAACUAUGGUUAUAAAGUUAUAUUUCAUUUUGUAGGUAGAAGAAAUACACAAAAUUACGUCCCACCAAACCUAUAACAUUUAAAUUCAUCAAUGCAUGAAAAUUGUCCCCCACAAAUUUUAAUAAUUCCACAGUAUGCAUUUAUAAACAACAUGAUGUGAUCUACAUUUUGAUUUUAUAACUAAAGAG